AUUAUUAGUUCUAAUUUGAAUCACUAUUGACACUUCGAUCUCUUUCUGAUGAAUGGUCGAUAAUGUAGAUUGUGACAUGAAAGUGAUCAUGAGGAUUAAAUAUUCAUGAAACCGAGGAUAAAAGGUUACAUCUUUCAAAUGUACUUAAUUAUUACAUCGUCUAUGUAAUAAUAGUAACUAUGUAAUAAUUGCAGUAAAUAUUAUAUCGAUAUAACCACGCAUUUUAAUCGAAAAGUUUAUGAUUAUAACCUGUCUCUUAUUUCAACAACAGAGAAGCUGAUUAAGAAGCGCUCGGUUUACGAUGUUUGCGGAACAUGUCAGUCUUCCUCCAGUCUCACCAACAUGCGCAUGCACGGUGAGGCUACGUGGGAGGAGCUGAAACAGGCUUCAAGCUACCAAGGGAUCUUGUAUCCGACGCCCCUAUUUAUAUAGAAUUCAGGAUGUCUAUGUAUGCGAAUUGAUGCAGAAGAACGAUGGACAGUCGUAUGACUUCAUCGAAGUAGUAAGCGCAAAACGAAAGGAACUUUGCCCGUGGGACGCUUUGCUGCCUGCUCAUCGAGUUUAGUGUAGACAGCAUAGGAUGAAGAAGCCAGCGAGAAAGAUGAAGUGGCAGUACGUCCUUGAGGCCACGCGCCUCGAGUGCACCGUAGAAGGUGUUUUAUGGGCCCCCAUAAUGGUGCCGGCAGUCCUUAUUCUGUUUCUUCCUCUUAGCUCGUACCUUCUUCACUCGUCUUCUUUUCUACUUUUUUUUUACCUCUCUCUUUCUCUCUCUCUC